UACGUAGGUGGCAAGCGUUGUCCGGAAUUAUUGGGCGUAAAGCGCGCGCAGGCGGCCUUUUAAGUCUGAUGUGAAAGCCCACGGCUCAACCGUGGAAGGUCAUUGGAAACUGAAAGGCUUGAGUACAGAAGAGGAAAGCGGAAUUCCACGUGUAGCGGAUGAAAUGCGUAGAGAUGUGGAGGAACACCAGUGGCGAAGGCGGCUUUCUGGUCUGUAACUGACGCUGAGGCGCGAAAGCGUGGGGAGCAACAGG
rnacentral:rRNA from 1 species